rnacentral:misc_RNA from 1 species
GAUGAAGAACGUAGUGAACGUGCGAAACGUAAUGUGAAUUGCAGAAUUCAGUGAAUCAUCGAAUCUUUGAACGCAUCUUGCGCUCCUUGGUAUUCCGAGGAGCAUGCCUGUUUGAGUGUCGUGAAUACUCUCAACUUCAACCCUUUUUUCAGAAAGGGAGGAAGGUUGGACUUGGGUGUUUGUUGAAGUGCGAGCUUCGACUCAUCCUAAAUGCAUUAGCGAUCUGCCUCGAUCACACACAAUGUGAUAAUUAAAACUAAAGCAUUGUUUAAUGAUCAAGUCGAGACUGCUUCUAACUGUCGCAAGACAAUAACGUGCAUACAUUUGUGCAUGUCAUUUGACCUCAAAUCAGGUAGGACUACCCGCUGAACUUAAGCAUAUCAAUAAGCGGAGGA